rnacentral:lncRNA from 1 species
GUAAAUAGUAGUAAAAUAACCCUAAUCCAAUGUGUAUUAGGAGUAGGAUAGAUUAUGUGUAUAUAUAUAGGGCUCAUUGUAUCAUGUUUAAUAUCAAUGAUAUUUUUCUCCCGUGCUUUCUCACAUGGUAUCAGAGCUACAGUAAGAAAUUUAUCGCUGUGCACAAAUUCCAGCGACUCCGGGAAGAGAUAACAGUCAACCGGAAGCCCUU